rnacentral:tRNA from 1 species
GAUCGCAUAGCUCAAUGGUAGAGCAGUGGUCUUCGGAACCAAAGGUUGUGGGUUCGAAUCCCGUUGCGAUUG